CUUUGCUGUCGUUCGUGUUCCCGAAUUAGAGUCCACUUAAAGUAUCAAGCUAAUGAACUACCGUGCGAUACUUGAAUAUAUUCAUAUUUCAUUAUAAAGUCAAAGUGGGUAGAAAUAUUUGAUUGAGGUUGAGUGACAUAUUAUAUAAAUGGGAAACUGACGGAAUAAACAAAGGUAUCACAAAUGCAACUGAGUUGGUUUAAAGCUUUAAGUCGGUUCUGUACGACACCUUAGUUUUCACUCGGAAGUGAAAACAAUCAUAUUAAUAAAACAAUGUGAGUUGAUAAUUUAUCAAGGUAGUUAAGGAUAUAACUCUCUUCAAUGUCAUGGUCUGGUCAAGUGUUUCACUCGGUGGAUCCUGCAAUGGAAAGAUCGUUAGUUGUAAUCAUCGUAUACUUCUACAUAUAAGAACUAAGGAGUUCCAUAAAGUAAAAGAAUAAUCGACUGAGAACCCCAAUGAGGAGCAGAGAUAGUUCUCAUCCUCCACCCACAGCUCCUUCUUUGAAAUUAUUCAAGGGCAACUCUGCUUCGUCUCCUACACUAACAAAACUAUUCCAUUAAUAAGAGUCCUUCAUUGUCCUGGAUAUAUAUAACACAGAAAUCACUCAUCUCUAUCACAUUUAUAACAAUUCCAUUAAUAAGUUGGACUUCGUGAUAUAUGUUUAUACGGAUAAUUAUAUAAG
rnacentral:lncRNA from 1 species